rnacentral:rRNA from 1 species
UACGUAGGUGGCAAGCGUUGUCCGGAUUUACUGGGCGUAAAGAGCGCGCAGGCGGUCGAUCAAGUCGCGUGUGAAAGCCCCCGGCUCAACUGGGGAGGGUCACGCGAUACUGAUCGACUCGAAGGCAGGAGAGGGUAGUGGAAUUCCCGGUGUAGUGGUGAAAUGCGUAGAUAUCUGGAGGAACACCGGUGGCGAAGGCGGCAUCCUGGACCGACACUGACGCUGAGGCGCGAAAGCUAGGGUAGCAAACGGG